AACCCUGGCGGCGUGCUUAACACAUGCAAGUCGAACGAUGAUGGGAGCUUGCUCCUGGAUUAGUGGCGAACGGGUGAGUAACACGUGAGUAACCUGCCCUUAACUCUGGGAUAAGCCUGGGAAACUGGGUCUAAUACCGGAUAUGACUCCUCAUCGCAUGGUGGGGGGUGGAAAGCUUUUUGUGGUUUUGGAUGGACUCGCGGCCUAUCAGCUUGUUGGUGAGGUAAUGGCUCACCAAGGCGACGACGGGUAGCCGGCCUGAGAGGGUGACCGGCCACACUGGGACUGAGACACGGCCCAGACUCCUACGGGAGGCAGCAGUGGGGAAUAUUGCACAAUGGGCGCAAGCCUGAUGCAGCGACGCCGCGUGAGGGAUGACGGCCUUCGGGUUGUAAACCUCUUUCAGUAGGGAAGAAGCGAAAGUGACGGUACCUGCAGAAGAAGCGCCGGCUAACUACGUGCCAGCAGCCGCGGUAAUACGUAGGGCGCAAGCGUUAUCCGGAAUUAUUGGGCGUAAAGAGCUCGUAGGCGGUUUGUCGCGUCUGCCGUGAAAGUCCGGGGCUCAACUCCGGAUCUGCGGUGGGUAC
rnacentral:rRNA from 1 species